GCAGGAUGCCGUUCUGUGUGUAUCUGAAGAGUGGGAAGGUCAAGGAACACAGCACGAGCAAGAGAAACAUUUCAAGCAUUUUGAGAUUUCGCGUUCAUGAGGAUGGGACGGAUGGAUGGACAGAUGGACAGAACGACGGGCAACCCAAAAACAUAACGCUUCCGGCCCUGGAGUAGUAUGUGCAGUCAUUUAAGACACCCUUUUGGACCAAUGGAAAAAGGCAAUCCAACUUGUGUCAUCAUGAUAACAGGGCUGUCUCUACGCUACGUUCUGAGCACUGACUGUGACCAGGUACUGAGCGCCCGGCUCCAGGCCGGUAAGUAAGGUCGAGUUUUUGUGGCUGUCUAACGUCACAGUCUGGACAUGUCCGCUCGGGAUGGCUCCG